UAGGUUCUCUGUUCAUGGAAACUGAAGUUUGUAAGAGUUUAAGGCCAAACGUAAGAGGUCAUACUCCCUGUCACAAACUCCAGCUGAACUAACUUGGAGGAGGAUCUUCCCUGACAGCUCUGGAAGGAAAUUGACAGAACUUUCGUAAAGCCAAAGACUGGCAGAAAUAAAGUAAAUAAUGAUGAAACUGAGCAAUAGAGCACCCAGAAGGAGUGUCCCCUGCCAAAAAGAAUGUGGCAUUUCACCCUCCAAGAAACAAAUGGACACCUUAUCCCACAGAAGAAUGGGGCUCACAUGUCACCGUCACUCACUUCUUUAUCCUUUCGCCAAAGGAAGCCACUUCAUCUAGGAUGUUCUGG
rnacentral:lncRNA from 1 species